GGGCGACACGAUCGCGGUAAAUUUCAAGCGCGUGAUCCACCGGAGAUUUUUCGUAAUUAAUCGUUCGGCUUUUCUCGGCGGCGGGGAAAACGAAAUUUCGGUUUUAACUCGGGAUCGAUCGCUAUUUUCGCUCAUCAAAAGCUACGUUUAUCGUCGCUCCGAGUGCGUGAUAUUUCAUUCCGAGUUAUUUAUACCGGACGUUAACGACUGGGAGAACAGAAAGUUUUUUUUUUCUAAAUCAGAUCAUAAAAGACAUCUCGCCGGACGAAUUUUAUUGUUCGAGUGAAAUUAGAUUUCGGACGUAUGCCGAGGAACCGAGAGGAGAAAGAAGUUCGGGAGCGUCAGCGGACUUGCGAGCGCGCGCGAGCUUAUACGAGGUUGAACGAACGCAUAAAAACUGUCAGCCGAGCCGAGAGUAUGAAUGGGCCGCGUGGGGAUUUUUAAGCAUAAAAUAAGAUGUUAAUUUACGAUGGAAACAAACCAUCAGGCUCGAUAUUCGGCUGCUGGGCCUUGUACCAGAUUAUUACUCACUUUGCGAGAAUUCGAUCAUGACGUACACCGGGGGCCGAUUGUAAACGCUCGCGCGCUUGAAUUUUCAAUCGUCGCGGGACAAGUGGAAAUAGCACGUCGAGUUAUUACACUCGUAAAGUCUUUUUUUUCUCUCUCCCAGCUACUAUAUAGUAUAAACUAUGCGGGUGACGAGAUUAUAGCGUCGGGAAUGACGAGUUAACGAGGCCGAAGACAUGCGGAACGGCGUCGCGUGUGCAUUUUUCAGAGUGAUUUUGAGUCACGAAAAGCCGUCGUCGCGCUUUUUUCGGCCGCGAGUUUUAUCGUACUCGCGUAGGCGCGCGUGCUUUUGCCAAAGAAUCUCGCGGUUCAUCUAAUAAUAGCGACGAGAAUAGCUCCAUUAAUUUUGCGAACGUACAGCCAAGUGACUUGUAUACGCGUAUGGACUCUGAAAAAGUAGAGGCUUUGAAGUUUUCGUUGCUCCAUACCUUGUAGCUUGUUAGUUCUUGCUGUUUUAAGGCCGAAUUUACACUAAAAUAACUGACUACGCUAACAGUAAUUAAUAAUAUGAUAAUAAACAUUAACUACACAAUUUUUUCAACGAACAAACUAAACAACAUUUCUACUUUAUUCCAGCUGGAAACUCAUCCACACAUGCGUUCAUUUUGUUGCCGUGCGGAGCAAUCCCAGCACAUAGGGGAGCAGCACGCACACGACGCGACGGCAGGCGUGAUGGCGGCGACAUCCCCGCGCACUCUACGCCCAUCAGCUGCCAACGGAAAUCAUCAGAAUUUCGCACAGCAUUCGCACGCGAUUGCGUCACAGCCAGCCAGCCAGACAGAGAGAGAGAGAGAGAGAGAGAGAGAGAGAGAGAGAGAGAGAGAGAGACACGAACCCCCGCCAUCAUCGGCGGAACGAGUUAUAUGCCUGCGGGCAUUUUUUUCCGUCACGUCGAACGUGUGUCAACUCGGUUGACGAGCCGAAAAAGUCGGGAGGAUGAUUCGGCUCUCGGCCGUCGCUAAGCUUGCGCGGGGCUUCGAAAUAGCCGAGAUCCGCGAGCAUCGUUCAGUGAGUGUGAAGUUUUAAGUGCGAUUUUUUUGGGAAAAGUGAUCGUGCGCGCGGCUUUGUAAUUUUUUGAGCGAUGUGGGUUGCAAAAGUAUACAUAUCAGUGUUUUGUUUGAAGACGCGAAGGGGCGAAGUUUCACGUGGGAGUGAUUGGAGAUUUUUGAAGACAAGGAUUGUUUGUGCGGUGUCAAACGAUGUUGCUCUUCGGUCGGGGAAGAAUUUUGAUUGAAAGUGUGAUUCAUCGAGUGAAAACAUUCGUCGGUCUAACGUCGCGCGUAGACGUAAAAUUAAACGCGAAACUACUGUCCAAAAGUGAUUUUUAAUACCCAGAAACUGCAACACAAACGAAAAUAAAUAGAAUUCUACGUAAAAAACCAGUGAACUAAAUUACAAAAUAAAAACCAGCCCGACAACGCCCUCGAAAAAAGCCAGCCGUCUCGCGCCGCCAUGCGCUUUGCCGUCGGAUCGAGAGAGGUUCCGCCUCGCGCGCAGAUAGAAGCCGCGUCAGCAGCAGCAGCAGCGUAUUCCAUCGCCAUAGCGAUCAUCCUAAAAUAACGAGGAAUCUCUUCUCUGCGUCUCCCUCGAGCAGCCCCCGCAGGAUAUCGCCCACUCGCUGCAGACCGACGAAGAAGAAGAAAAGGGCAUCGAUACAGCCGGAUCAGCGGACGGGAUCUCUCUUGACAAAAGAAGCGGAGCCAAUGCAGCGAACCGCUAUUAUUCCUCCUGCAGCCCCGGCGACCAGGAGCAGCAGCGGCGGCUGUAGCAGCGAGAGAGCAUCACGGCCGGGCGCAUUCGAAAGGGGAAACUCGCUCCUCUUGGAAAACGGGUAGUAUAGCUGCAGCGCAGAAUAGAAGUGGGAAAGCCGACGAGGGGCCGUAUUAUCGAGCCAGACGCUGCUGGAAUGGUGAAAGUCGUCGACGGAAGCGGGAGCCGAGUGAGAGAGAGAGAGAGAGAGUGGAAAAAAGAAGAGCAGCAGCAGCGAAGGGCGAGCGAGAGAGAGCUCGGAAAAGCGCUACUCUCGACGGAGUGGCGCAGCUGGCGCGAGCGGGAAUUUUGCGCCUCCCUUUUUCGGCUCUCUCACCCUCGCGCCUAUACGUAUAUUCCGCACCUAGCUGUACAGAGUAGAGAGAGAGAGAGAGAGAGAGAGAGAGAGAGAGAGUAUGUACGUAGAAGCAGCGCACCACGGGGAAAUUCCGGGGGGCUGUGUAAGCUCGCUCGGCGCUGCUGCUGCAAGCUCUCCCUCGACGCUACGCAGUACAGAUAUACGCGCGAGAUAGCAGAGGCGGUCGAGCUUGGGUCCCCUCCCUCCAGGAGCACCCCUUGCGCUCGCUAUCGAUCGCCGCCACCGUCGACGAACUCCUCUCCCGUGUGUCUGGAGCUGCUCUAUCUCUCUCUCUCUCUCUCUCUCUCUCUCUCUCUCUCUCUCUCUCUCUCUCUCUCUCUCUCCCUGCAGUAUAACAGGAAUGCCGAGCUGCCCGCCUCUGCUACGCCGACCAUCAAAAUGCUCUCACGUAUGUGUGCGUGUGUGUAUGAACAGAACUGGCUGUCUGACUCUCUAGACGCGCUGCACAGGCGAGAAAAGCGCUCGCUCGCUCCUCUUUUUUCCAGCGACGACGGAAUGCGACUGGCAAUCGCGUGCGCGUGUAUAUUUCACGAAAAUAAUAUAAUGGACGCGACGUGAGUGUCCGCUUUGCCUCGAACGUUAUCGUCUCUCUUUGUUCUCUCCCGACGCGUCGGCUUGUAAUUAUGGCGCGUAUCCCAAUGCGCGAUGGCGCGCGGCAGCACGUGCGCGCGCUACGAAAGGGUUACCAAAGCAGGAGGUGGAGCUCCAAUUUUCUCCGACAAAGAAAUUUUCGGCGCGCGCGUCAUAUUCGAGGAAAGUCGUGCGUGCAUCAGAGAUUGAACGUUUUUCUGGCUCUCCCCAGAGAAUACACAGUUAUAACGAGGAGGAAUCACGACACGCGGCGUUGCGAUGUCUUUGUUUUAACGCUCGCCGCAUUUAUCGCUUUUCCUUGGCCGGAAUGUGCCGCGGAGUUUAGAGUAAUUUUUUCCAGCCGAUAACUCGGCUAAUGACACAAUUCCGAUAAUUUAUUCCACAAUAACUGACGCGACCGCUAAGCUAAAACGUCGAUGAUUGCUACUUAAAAGCCGCGCGCGUUAAUUAAAACAAAACAAAACAACAGGUUAUCGUAUAGAAAAACACACGGCAGCAGCUAUAUGGAGUCUGAUGAAACAAUCGCGAAUUAUGAACAGCAGAGCUUUGCCAGGACUCAAAGCGCCGCCGGCAUCAUUAUCGACCGCAAAGCAGCACUAGCUCGACGGCCUAUAAACUCGCGGCCGCACAGCACUACUAUACCAUACUCUCAACCCUCUCGCGCGUCUUACGCAUCCUCAUUACGCGAAGUUACGAUAAUGACGAUCUCCGCCGGCGAGACAGAGAGAGAGAGAGAGAGAGAGAGAGAGAGAGAGAGAGAGAGAGAGAGAGAGAGAGAGAGAGAGAGAGAGAGAGAGAGAGCUGAGCUCACUUUGCAACUGCGCGGGCUGAUGUACGCCGAGUGCAGAGGGUCGGCUGCACGGACGUCGCGCGUUUUACGCCGCCGUUAAACACGUGCGAAUUUCGUUUUAUACCAUAUACACAAACACCGCCGGAGUAGUACAGGGAUGCGAGGCUUUAAUCUCGCGCGCGAGCGCCGGUUCAAACAGACAGAUUACGAAGCUGUUAUCAGACGGACGCGAACUGGAUAAAGGGAUUUUUGGAUCUCGUUCGUGUGAUAAAUGCCGAGAGUGAUCCUCGGGAGAUGCUUAUUUGCGCUUUGAUCGUAAAAAUUUUAUACUUUGUAUACUCUGGAAUAUAACACACUCGUUCUAGGUGUAUGUGUGUGUGUAUCUGUUUGUGUAAGCGCUCGCGCGGCCCACAUGAGGAUCGCGCAUAUUAAUUUUUCUCGUAUGUAUUUUAUCGUUCGUUAUUAGUUUCAUAAAGAGCAAAAAUUGUGGUCGCGUAUAAAAUUGCGCGUGUAUAAUCAGCCGGAUAUUUAUUGUUAUCUCCGAGCGCGUAUAAAUACAUUUCUAAAUUAGCCAUCAUCAGCGCGGCGAAAAAUUAUACUUUCUUAUAUGCACACAGCAGAGACUCUAGGUGCUUCAUUACGAGUAUGUGCGUAUGUUCCGUAUAGGUAGAUAACGCACGUCGAGAGAGGCCUUGUUAAGAUGCGCAGGGAUGAUAAGCGAAGGCGCAUAUUACAUGCUUUCGUGCGUGCGUAUGCACAGAAUUUAUACGUGGAGAGACGAUGGAAAUAAAAAUGUUUUGUGAGUUCAGAGUCUUAAAUUUUAUUCACU
rnacentral:lncRNA from 1 species